rnacentral:tRNA from 2 species
GCCGAAAUGGCGGAAUUGGUAGACGCGCGCGACUCAAACUCGCGUUCCUUUGGAGUGUGGGUUCGAUUCCCACUUUCGGUACAA